AUUUUUUACCGAACUCUCCUGAAGUUUGAGUGGCAGCUAAGACCUGUCGUUGGAAGCAAUCAAUUUGCAGGUGAACACAAGUUGAUAAACAAAAUUUACGUGCAUUUCCCUUUGUAUCAGUUUCCAGGGUAAUAGUAAUACUAACCAGGGCAGAAGUGUGAACUUGAUGAUUACCUCAACAUAGCCAUCUCCAAGUGUGACUCCACUUCCAAAGUUGUAAGCACGCGCAAUAUGCCUGUUGAGUGAUGCUGAGUUGAAUUGAGUGAGAAUAUAAACUUUGUUGAUCCCACUGUUGAUACAGUUGCUCAUAGGUACAUCGAUCAGCCUAUAUGAUCCUCCAAUGGAAACCUGAAAUAUUAAGAAUAGAAUAAAUCUUUGACUAAAGUAGAGGAAUUGUUCAACUGGAACAUUUGUUAUGUCUGUUCACUGCAGGUAUGAAGACUUACAGCAGGCUUGGCACGCUGCUUAGUCAAAGGAAACAAACGAGUGCCAGCUCCACCUCCUAGUAUAACGGCUACAACGGUUCUCGCAUCCCUUUUCUCCAUCUCCAGGUCCCUCAACUGUACAGGGUAACAGAGUUCUUUAAGGUAACAAUACAUCUUGUAUCCUUGUAUAAAUAAGAACAGUGAAAAAUAACCUGGAUUGUAUAUGAGUGGGUGGAAUGGGGGACGGGGGCUGCCCUCUAUUGUUUGAAUUAGUUAGAACUCACCUUAGCCUCACCUGCAACAUCUGCUGUAAGCGACAUGCAGAUUGGAUUCUUAUUACCAUAGUGCUUAGUCCUCUGCUGAAAUUGUGUUGACUUAAGCUUCUCCCCCAUGAACUCUCCACUCCCAAACUUCACGAGCCUCCCGUUUCUUCUCGACAAUCCGGCAAUGCCAUGCAAUUGGCCGGCGGCUGACAGCGCUAUUCGCCCGUCGGCGGUAACUGUCAUCUUGUUGCAGAGAAGAGAAUAUAAUGAAAUUCUAUAAACUUGUGAUUUUUAAGGCAGAAACUGGUCAACAGUGGGUCCUGUUGUGCCUCCAUGGGAUGCAUGCCAUAGGAGGAUUGAGACACGCUAUCCAAAUUCAAUUGCAUCCACCAAUUUUUAAUGUUCAUGUGAAUUUUGGAAAAGGAAAAUUAGAUCUGUAAUUUUACAGAAAAGUCCUCACACAUGCUCUGCUAUCUUGGAGUUUGGAAUAUUCUAAUGGUUUUCACCGUGGGAAUGAAGAUUUUUUUAACUCAACUCAUAGCCUUAUUGACAUGUUAGUGAACAACUCAGUUAAAACUUGGAUGAAAGUUCAACAACUACCUAUGGCGGAAGCUGAAGUAGCUACUCUCGAAGUAGCAAAAAGGGGAAAAAAAGAAGAAGAAGAAGAA
rnacentral:lncRNA from 1 species